GGGCAAUGAUCAGAUCUUGAACCCUCUUAGAGAGGGAGAGACCGCUGGCUUGCUGGAUCAGUGGCCUGAUGACCCUUGGAUGGAGAACUUGUUUCACUAGAACAGAUCCAACAAAAGCCGAGUUGGUGCGGGAUGACGAGUUGGCAGAAGUCGCUGAGUCGACGGGAGGUGCCGAGUCGAUGGAAAAAAGUGGUCAGAACAAAAUCCACCGGCAUGGUCCCAAAC
rnacentral:lncRNA from 1 species